rnacentral:rRNA from 1 species
CCUACGUGGGGCAGCAGUGGGGAAUAUUGGGCAAUGGGCGCAAGCCUUACCCAGCAAUACCGCGUGAGUGAAGAAGGUCUUCGGAUUGUAAAGCUCUUUGAUCAGGGACGAACAGAUGACGUUACCUGAAGAACAAGCCCCGGCUAACUACGUGCCAGCAGCCGCGGUAAAUCGUAGGGGGCGAGCGUUGUCCGGAAUGACUGGGCGUAAAGGGUGCGUAGGCGGGAGAAUAAGUUAGAAGGGAAAUACCCAGGGCUUAACUGGGGUGGUGCUUCUAAGACUGGUGAGCUUGAGUGCGGGAGAGGUUAAUGGAAGUCCUAGUGUAGCGGUGGAAUGCGUAGAUAUUAGGAGGAACACCAGAGGCGAAGGCGAUUAACUGGACCGUAACUGACGCUGAGGCACGAAAGUGUGGGUAGCAAACAGGAUUAGAUACCCCAGUAGUC